rnacentral:tRNA from 1 species
GCCUGGGUGGCUCAGUUGGUUAAGCAUCCGACUUCAGCUCAGGUCAUGAUCUCAUGGUUCGUGGGUUUGAGCCCCGCAUCAGGCU